rnacentral:rRNA from 1 species
UACGUAGGUGGCAAGCGUUGUCCGGAUUUACUGGGCGUAAAGAGCGCGCAGGCGGUCGUUCAAGUCGCGUGUGAAAGCCCCGGCUCAACUGGGAGGGUCACGCGAUACUGAUCGACUCGAAGGCAGGAGAGGGUAGUGGAAUUCCCGGUGUAGUGGUGAAAUGCGUAGAGUAUCGGGAGGAACACCGAUGGCGAAGGCAGCCCCUGGGUCAAGACUGACG